rnacentral:rRNA from 1 species
CUACGUGCCAGCAGCCGCGGUAAUACGGAAGGUCCGGGCGUUAUCCGGAUUUAUUGGGUUUAAAGGGAGCGUAGGCUGGAGAUUAAGUGUGUUGUGAAAUGUAGACGCUCAACGUCUGACUUGCAGCGCAUACUGGUUUCCUUGAGUACGCACAACGUCGGCGGAAUUCGUCGUGUAGCGGUGAAAUGCUUAGAUAUGACGAAGAACUCCGAUUGCGAAGGCAGCUGACGGGAGCGCAACUGACGCUGAAGCUCGAAGGUGCGGGUAUCGAACAGGAUUAGAUACCCUGGUAGUCCGCACAGUAAACGAUGGAUGCCCGCUGUUGGUACCUGGUAUCAGCGGCUAAGCGAAAGCAUUAAGCAUCCCACCUGGGGAGUACGCCGGCAACGGUGAAACUCAAAGGAAUUGACGGGGGCCCGCACAAGCGGAGGAACAUGUGGUUUAAUUCGAUGAUACGCGAGGAACCUUACCCGGGCUUGAA